rnacentral:rRNA from 1 species
UGCCCUAGUAACGGCGAGUGAAGCGGCAACAGCUCAAAUUUGAAAUCUGGCUCUCUUGCAGAGUCCGAGUUGUAAUUUGCAGAGGAUGCUUUUGGCGAGGCGCCUUCCGAGUUCCCUGGAACGGGACGCCGUAGAGGGUGAGAGCCCCGUACGGUCGGUGCCGAGCCUCACUGUAAAGCUCCCUCGACGAGUCGAGUAGUUUGGGAAUGCUGCUCAAAAUGGGAGGUAAACCCCUUCUAAAGCUAAAUAUAGGCCAGAGACCGAUAGCGCACAAGUAGAGUGAUCGAAAGAUGAAAAGCACUUUGGAAAGAGAGUUAAACAGCACGUGAAAUUGUUGAAAGGGAAGCGCUUGUGGGCAGACUUGCGGCCGGCGGCUCAGCCGUCCCUCCGGGGCGGUGCACUCCGCCGGCGCAGGCCAGCAUCGGUUUCCAGCAGGGGAGAAAUGYAGUGGGAACGUAGCUCUUCUAGAGUGUUAUAGCCCGCUGCUAUGCCCUGCCGGGGACCGAGGUCCGCGCCCUCGUGGCAAGGAUGCUGGCGUAAUGGCCACCAGCGACCCGUCUUGAAACACGGACCAAGGAGUCAUCCUAGUAUGCGAGUGUUCGGGUGUCAAACCCCUACGCGAAAUGAAAGUGAACGGAGGUGAGAGCUUCGGCGCAUCAUCGACCGAUCCUGAUGUCUUCGGAUGGAUUUGAGUACGAGCAUACUGGGCUGGACCCGAAAGAAGGUGAACUAUGCUUGGAUAGGGUGAAGCCAGAGGAAACUCUGGUGGAGGCUCGCAGCGGUUCUGACGUGCAAAUCGAUCGUCAAAUCUGAGCAUGGGGGCGAAAGUAAGUUUUUUCCAGUGGGUUGGGUUACAGUGGGUUUGGUGCAUUUGCUAACUGUCUCGCAGGACUAAUCGAACCUUUUAGUAGCUGGUUUCCGCCGAAGUUUCCCUCAGGAUAGCAGUGCUGAAGCGUAGUUUUAUGAGGUAAAGCGAAUGAUUAGGGACUCGGGGGCGCUAUUAAGCCUUCAUCCAUUCUCAAACUUUAAAUAUGUAAGAAGCCCUCGUUGCUUCGGUGAAC